GACGAACGCUGGCGGCGUGCUUAACACAUGCAAGUCGAACGGAAAGGCCCUGCUUUUGUGGGGUGCUCGAGUGGCGAACGGGUGAGUAACACGUGAGUAACCUGCCCUUGACUUUGGGAUAACUUCAGGAAACUGGGGCUAAUACCGGAUAGGAGCUCCUGCUGCAUGGUGGGGGUUGGAAAGUUUCGGCGGUUGGGGAUGGACUCGCGGCUUAUCAGCUUGUUGGUGGGGUAGUGGCUUACCAAGGCUUUGACGGGUAGCCGGCCUGAGAGGGUGACCGGCCACAUUGGGACUGAGAUACGGCCCAGACUCCUACGGGAGGCAGCAGUGGGGAAUAUUGCACAAUGGGCGGAAGCCUGAUGCAGCAACGCCGCGUGCGGGAUGACGGCCUUCGGGUUGUAAACCGCUUUCGCCUGUGACGAAGCGUGAGUGACGGUAAUGGUAAAGAAGCACCGGCUAACUACGU
rnacentral:rRNA from 1 species